AAGAAAACAUGAAUAAAAACCAAAUGAAGUGAUGUGGUCCUAAAGAUGAACUAAUCUUUAACCUAUAUGUGAAUGGUUAAUAUAGAUCCUAAAAUUUGGGUGAUUUAAUGUUAAAAAUCAGCUUUGAUGCCCAUCAACAAUGCAAUUUCCUAGAUUGUUGGCUUUCACCUUUUUUAUUCCACUUGAGAAAUUAUAGAUUCGAAUUCUGCAAUAAAGUUUUAGCAAGUUUCAUAUUAAUUCUGAUAGUAGGGGUUAUCCUGACAAAUUGGAGAUUGAACCAUUGAAGUCAUUGCCUAGGAAAAUGUUUAUUGGUUUCAAUACCUUUUCUAUGGUAUGGCAAACAAUUUUCUCAAUCUCUGCCAUUGGAUUAGCUAAUAUGAUCUCUGUUCUUUUUUUCUUCUACUCAAAUUUUGAAGAACUCAUUUUGGUUGCUAUGUCGUAUGCUUUUGUGGCUUUCCAUUGCUACAUUUUCCAAUUUAAAUUGGAUGCUUUAGGGUCCUCAAAGCAUCAUUAUAUAUGAAUUAGAUAUUUGAUGCUGCUGUGAGUCUCCUUUG
rnacentral:misc_RNA from 1 species